UUGUUUAUUCGGUAGGAAGUAUUUUGGUCAUGAAAGCUUCCGUAGUGUGAAAUUCAUCCAUUGUCUUGCGGGUGUGAAAUCACUUGUGAUUUCUUCAAAUGCGGGGAAACUUGAUUGCAUUAUUUGUGAUGAAUGGGUGACUGUGUUCAUUGCCCGAUC
rnacentral:snRNA from 1 species